GCAACGACGAAAACCUUAACCCACCUUUGUACAUGGCAGGAAUCCCGAAGAGAUUGGGUAGUGCUCGAAAGAGAACCUGCACACAGGUGCUGCAUGGCUGUCGUCAGCUCGUGUCGUGAGAUGUUGGGUUAAGUCCCGCAACGAGCGCAACCCUUGCCAUUAGUUGCUACGAAAGGGCACUCUAAUGGGACUGCCGGUGACAAACCGGAGGAAGGUGGGGAUGACGUCAAGUCCUCAUGGCCCUUAUAGGUGGGGCUACACACGUCAUACAAUGGCCGGUACAGAGGGUAGCCAACCCGCGAGGGGGAGCCAAUCCCACAAAGCCGGUCGUAGUCCGGAUCGCAGUCUGCAACUCGACUGCGUGAAGUCGGAAUCGCUAGUAAUCGCGGAUCAGCAUGUCGCGGUGAAUACGUUCCCGGGUCUU
rnacentral:rRNA from 1 species